UACGUAGGUGGCGAGCGUUGUCCGGAUUUACUGGGCGUAAAGGGCGUGCAGGCGGUUUGUUAAGUGCAGGGUGAAAGCUCCCGGCUCAACUGGGAGAGGUCCUUGCAUACUGGCGAACUCGAGGGAGGCAGAGGAAAGUGGAAUUCCCGGUGUAGUGGUGAUAUGCGUAGAUAUCGGGAGGAACACCGGUGGCGAAGGCGGCAUCCUGGACCGGUAUUGACACUGAAAAACGAAAGCCAGGGGAGCAAACGGG
rnacentral:rRNA from 1 species